rnacentral:lncRNA from 1 species
GAACCUCCCAUAUGCUGCAGGAGCAGCCCAAGAGAUGGCAAAAAGACAUAAAUAAAUAAAUAGUAAAAGAAGCAGAACCUACUUUCAGCUGCAUUUGUUUUGGUUCAGUCCUUUACUUUUGGUUAUUACAGCUGUUUUCCUGUGGUGGGUGUAGCUAAAGAUCAUUGUCUUUGUUUAUGAGUCUGAAAAUUGAGACAUUUGAAAACCCUGUAUGGAUAUAUUCUAACAUUAGGCUGAACUGCAAGACUUACCCUAACAUUGAAUCUCCCUUUUAUAAAAACUCUGAUCGAGUGUUAAAAUAACUUUCAACCGUGAAGAAACAAUUCCCACUUAUCUGGCACGUUAGUAUAAUGUCCAAAUAAUGGAAAAUUCUUGCCUUGCAGAAAUUAUGAAGGUUUUUAAAAUUUUAACUCAUUUUGGUGGCAUUCUUUCUAAAGGGCCUUGAAUUUUUUUGUCUCUCAGAGGGAACAAAACACAGUUUAAUUUUUUUCCUAUGGCUUAAGCGAUUUUCCAGUAGAGACAUUCAUUUUCACAGGUCUUUUAUGUAAUGAGUGCCCCUCUGGCUGCCGGUACAUUUUUUUCCGUCUCAUUCCGCCGCCAGGUGAUGGUCUUACUGAAGCAAGUGACAGCCCUCCCUCCGUCCUUUCACACAGAGCAGUCCCAACCCACACUUCUUCCCGUUUGGGAUUCCAGUGGUCUGCGUGGGAAGUCAUGCAAAAUUAUUCAUCCUAAGGAAGAUUCAGUCUCCACCAAAUGGGUCCCAGUGGUUUGAGGACAAUUUGGGGAUAUUUGCCAGCUACGGGCUUACUUUAUUAGUGUUGCCAUAUGGGUUUCACGUGGGCUCUAGAAUUGUUUUUGGUUAUGUAUACCGAAGUUUGUAAAUAUUGCAAAAUUUAUAAAUGUUGUAUUAUGGAGGUCACUGACACCUAGGAGCUGAUCUGAAAACAAAAUUAUUAUUUAUACCCUUACAUCUAAGAGAAAUUACUUAGUGUUCCAAACAUCUAGCUUACUCUUAUAUAUAGAAUAUUAUAUUAGAAAAUUGGGUAAUGUUUGAAGUGUAUUGAACUUUGAGGAGCCCUGAAAGGGUAAGACUGGUUGCCUGAAUAGGAAAAUGUCUUAGACUAUUUUGUCUUUUGAGUUCUUGUGCCUGCCUGAUACUAUAAAAUAGUGUUAUAUAGUUCUCUGCUUUCAGCUGCCUCUCUUUUUUUUUCUUUUAAAUCAGAAUUCCAUCUCUGGCAGCAUUCUUUCUGCUUUAAAUAUCUUAUUUAGCUUUUGUCUAGUAAGCAGGAAUAGUACACUUGUUUGAACUGGAUGUAGGCAGAGCUCACUUAUGCAGGACACAUAAACUUUGUUGCAUCUGUUUUCUUGUUUAUAGAGCAUUUGUUAUUUAUUCUUAAAUUUGCAACUAAAUUUCAGCUAGUUGAAAUUAGAGCCUAAGUCCAGGAAGGUUUUUCUUGUCUUUAUUUGGGGAGGGGGGAUAGGUGGAUCUAAAUAAUUUUUUUUGUCUUUUUUUUUUUUUUUUUUUUUGCCAUUUCUUGGGCCACUCCCAUGGCAUAUGGAGGUUCCCAGGCUAGGGGUCUAAUUGGAGCUAUAGCUGCCUGCCUACGCGAGAGCCACAGCAACGUGGGAUCCGAGCCGCAUCUGCAACCUACGCCACAGCUCACGGCAACGCCGGAUCGUUAACCCACUGAGCAAGGCCAGGGAUCGAACCCACAACCUCAUGGUUCCUAGUCGGAUUCAUUAACUACUGCGCCACGACGGGAACUCCGGAUCUAAAUAAUUUUAUUAACAGUUUCCAAUUUAUAUUUAAAUGGAUAUUAACUGUCUGUGCGACAUUAUAUUUUACAUUUUUAAACAUUCCCUUUUUUAUAGAGAGAUUAACUUUAGGAGUCGAUAAAGACAAAGACCCUCCUUCCCUCUCUCAGUGACUGCACUUGUUUGGGAAAGGAUACCAUCACCCAUUGUUUACAGGAAAACGAAGACCCUCCUUCCCUCUUGGACUAGGAGGCCACAGGGUUAAUCUUCUGAGGAUACUUUGCCUUCUCUAAUCGCAUUAUCUUUUUUCCUUAACUAGAUUGUAAAUUCCCUUUAAGCAAGAAUUUGUGAUACCUGCCACAUUCAGCUGACAGUAAACGUCUACUGUUGUGAAUUAAAAGCCAAUGUCUCUUGAGUAUUGCCUGAUAGUUUCUGAUAAUGUGGCCUCCUUCAGUGGCAGCCCUAAGGGAUACACCAAGAUUAUAAUGGGAGCCUCAUGUGGGUUUCUUCUUCUUCUUCUUCUUCUUCUUUUUUUUUUUUUUUGUCUUUUUGCCAUUUCUUGGGCCACUCCCGCGGCAUAUGUGAAGUUCCCAGGCUAGGGGUCUAAUCGGAGCUGUAGCCGCCAGCCUAUGUCAGAGCCACAGCAACGUGGGAUCCGAGCCAUGUCUGUGACCUACACCACAGCUCAUGGCAACGCUGGAUCAUUAACCCACUGAGCAAGGGCAGGGAUCGAACCUGCAACCUCAUGGUUCCUAGUCAGAUUCGUUAACCACUGCGCCAUGACAGGAACUCCCGGUUUCUUCUUUUAAAGAGGCCAGUAGGAACCUUACCUCCUGUAACUAUUCCUGUCCUAAAAUGACCCCAAAGCUUACUACCUUCUUUGCUUUUGCCUAAACCUCCCUCAUAACCCAGUCUACAGGGAGGAGGUGGCCUGCUUGGGCACCUGAGGUGAGUGGGUGCCAGCAGCCUCACCAUUAGGCUGAACCAUAUUACCAAAGGACUGAAACAUGGUUGGCCCAUUCUGGCCUGAGGUGUGACCCCAAUUAGCAAAUGCAGAUGCCUUGGAAGACAAAUCUUGCCAUGCUGGAAGCCCCUGACAAGGAGGAGAGGGGCUGCAGGGAUUGUGCCAUCUAUUUAUUUGUUGUUGAUGUGCUUAGUGAGAAAUCUGAAGGGCUUUACAAGGAAUAAAGAGAAAUGAAAGAAGAGCUCA